AAGGAGUGUGUAACAACUCACCUGCCGAAUGGACUAGCCCUGAAAAUGGAUGGCGCUGAAGCGAGUGACUUAUACUCAACCAUCGCGGCAAGUGCGACGCCGCGAUGAGUAGGAGGGCGUGGAGGUCGUGGCGCAUCCCGCGGCGUGAGCCGGGGUGAAACGGCCUCUAGUGCAGAUCUUGGUGGUAGUAGCAAAUAUUCAAAUGAGAACUUUGAAGACUGAAGUGGGGAAAGGUUCCACGUGAACAGCAAUUGGACGUGGGUUAGUCGAUCCUAAGAGAUAGGAGAAAUCCGUUAGAAAGCGGGCCGUUCUCGGAUGGCCCCGCCUAUCGAAAGGGAAUCGGGUUAAUAUUCCCGAACCAGGACGUGGAUAUUGAGUGGCAACACAAGCAAAACCGGGGAAGGCGGCGAGGGCUCCGAGGAGAGUUAUCUUUUCUUGUUAACAGCAGUUGCGACCCUGGAAUCGGAUUGGCCGGAGAUAGGGUUGCAGCUCUGGGAAAGGCGGUUAAUUUGUGACCGCUUCGGUGCGCUUUCGACGUCCCUUGAAAACCCGGUGGCGUGACUUAUUCGCACCCCUGGUCGUACUCAUAACCGCCUCAGGUCUCCAAGGUGUGCAGCCUCUGGCCGAUAGAAGAAUGUAGGUAAGGGAAGUCGGCAAAAUAGAUCCGUAACCUCGGGAAAAUGAUUGGCUCUGAGGGUUGGGCUUGUGGG
rnacentral:rRNA from 1 species